ensembl:misc_RNA Metazoa_SRP Metazoan signal recognition particle RNA
GCCAGGCAUGGUGGUGCAUGCCUGUGGUCCCAGCUACUCGGGAGGCUGAGUUGGGAGGAUCUCUUGAGCCUAGGAGGUCAAGGCUGCAGCGAGCCAUGAUUGUGCCACUGCACUCUAGCCUGGGCUACACAGCAAGAUCCUGUCUCUA